GACGAACGCUGGCGGCGUGCCUAAUACAUGCAAGUCGAACGCUGAAGCUUGGUGCUUGCACCGAGCGGAUGAGUUGCGAACGGGUGAGUAACGCGUAGGUAACCUGCCUGGUAGCGGGGGAUAACUAUUGGAAACGAUAGCUAAUACCGCAUAAGAGUAGAUGUUGCAUGACAUUUGCUUAAAAGGUGCAAUUGCAUCACUACCAGAUGGACCUGCGUUGUAUUAGCUAGUUGGUGAGGUAACGGCUCACCAAGGCAACGAUACAUAGCCGACCUGAGAGGGGGAUCGGCCACACUGGGACUGAGACACGGCCCAGACUCCUACGGGAGGCAGCAGUAGGGAAUCUUCGGCAAUGGACGGAAGUCUGACCGAGCAACGCCGCGUGAGUGAAGAAGGUUAUCGGAUCGUAAAGCUCUGUUGUAAGAGAAGAACGAGUGUGAGAGUGGAAAGUUCGCACUGUGACGGUAUCUUACCAGAAAGGGACGGCUAACUACGUG
rnacentral:rRNA from 1 species